CAAGGAAUUUUCCACAAUGGGCGCAAGCCUGAUGGAGCAACGCCGCGUGGGGGAUGACGCUUUUCGGAGUGUAAACCCCUUUUCCGAGGGAUGAAGACAGUGACGGUACCUCGGGAAGAAGGCCCGGCUAACUACGUGCCAGCAGCCGCGGUAAGACGUAGGGGCCGAGCGUUGUCCGGAGUUACUGGGCGUAAAGCGCGCGCAGGCGGAUCCACGCAUCCUCGGUGAAAGCCCCCCGCUCAACGGGGGAGGGUCCGGGGAGAUGGUGGGUCUGGAGGCAGGGAGAGGCCAGUGGAAUUCCGGGUGUAGUGGUGAAAUGCGUAGAGAUCCGGAGGAACACCGGUGGCGAAGGCGGCUGGCUGGACCUGUCCUGACGCUGAGGCGCGAAGGCGUGGGGAGCGAACGGG
rnacentral:rRNA from 1 species